AUUUAAAAUAUUGCUCUUUCUUCAGAAAAUAAUUUAAUUUAAUAAUUGCAGUAUAUUUGGUUUAGAUUGUUAUACCACUAACUAACUGUUAAAUGUUACUGUUUGCUACUUGUGAGAAUAAUAUGUAUAAAAUACUUUUCUGAUAAUGUUGCAGACUUUCUGUACAAAGCACAAUGUUCUUUUCUUACACUUUUCUCACAUACACACACACACACAUACUCUCUCUCUCUCUCUCUCUCUCUCUCUCUCUCUCUCUCUCUCUCUCUCUCUCUCUCUCUCAUAAACACACACACAGAUACCUUGACCUGAGCAUAACCUCCUCUCCUUAGCAUGUCUCCUAUGAAAGAAGUUAUGAAAAACAUGAUACUGCAGCUGGGAGGUGUCCUGCUUCAUGACAUUGGGCCAAGGAAUGUAGGAAGAAACAAAGAGAUACAGUAUGGGAAAUGUUCCAGCAGGUUCUCUUCCAGCACUUCCUCCCCAACCACCUCAGGCCGCACCCCACCCUUCCACCGGGAUGCAGGCAAAUCCCUACCAUGCAUAGUGAUGCCCACAGAGCGUGACCCUGACCAUGCUACAUUGUACAUAUGAUUAAGAUCAGUGUUCCUGUCGAAGAGCAGACGCAGCCUCUUUUUGGCUUCACGCACGGGGGGCGGCAGUACACGUGGACACACCUACAAAAAGGUAUGCAGAUGACCUCUUAGUCUCCGCAGCCUCUGAAAAAAUCUGUGAACAAUCCUCCCUCCACCUCCUGCGACAUCUAGCUUCAAAAGGCUUCAAGGUUUCAAAACACAAGGGGGGGGGGGGGGGG